rnacentral:lncRNA from 12 species
UGAAAAAGCAACUUAACCCUCUUUGGGUUAAAAGAGGGGUGAGCUCAGGACAGCAAAGCUGCUCUGGGAAGGAGCUGGGGGUGAGGAAGGUGAAGAGGAGCUGGGGGAUUCCUGGGAAUGGGAAAGGCCAAGGAAGGUGAGAUGGAACCGACACCCCAUGGGCUGGGCAGUGGGACAGUGGGGUCAGGUAAUGGGAUCUUGCUUUCACCAAAAACCUUAAAUUGCUCUUCUUGGCCCCACACCAGCCUGGGACAGUCUGUGUGUGUCCCCAAGAGACACUGCCCCUCCCCUGGGGACAAUGACAUGGCCAAAAAUGCCCUGCAGGGCCUGUGUGGGGCAGCUCCUGGCACUGGGCUGGUUCCUACAACCCCUGGAGUGAUGAUGGAUGGAUGGAUGGAUGAUGGAUGGAUGGAGGGAUGGAUGGAUGGAUGGGUACCUGUUCCCCACAAGGUGACAGCACUGCAGGAGUCACCCUGACCUUCCCCGAGCCCAGGGCUAUAAAGAGCAGCAGGGCUGAGCUGGGGGCUGCUCCUGACUCCUCUCCCACAGCCACAAUGAGGCAUUUUAUUUCAAAGGAUGAUCACAAAGCUAAAAAUACAGUAGCACCAGUGGCCUUUAAUCCCAGUUCAAGAGCAAUCUGACACUCCUGCUCUGCUCCCAGCCAGAUUUUUGGGACACAGGGAUG